AUUGAACGCUGGCGGCAUGCCUUACACAUGCAAGUCGAACGCUUGGGAGCGAUCCCUUGAGUGGCAGACGGGUGAGUAACGCGUGGGAACAUACCCUUCGGUACGGAACAACUUGGGGAAACUCGAGCUAAUACCGUAUGCGGCCUAUGGGCGAAAGAUUGUAUCGCCGAAGGAUUGGCCCGCGUCCGAUUAGCUAGUUGGUGGGUAACGGCCCACCAAGGCGACGAUCGGUAGCUGGCUGAGAGGAUGGCCAGCCACAUUGGGACUGAGACACGGCCCAAACUCCUACGGGAGGCAGCAGUGGGGAAUAUUGGACAAUGGGCGCAAGCCUGAUCCAGCCAUGCCGCGUGCGGGAAGACGGCC
rnacentral:rRNA from 1 species